CCCUGGGGAAGAUGGUGCCCGUGGACGAGUUCCUGCCCCUCAUGUUCGACAGACACCCCAGCCCCGAGUACUCCCGCUACUUUUCCCGGCGGGAUCUGGAGGCGUUUUCGGCGGAGCCGCUGCUGCUGUUCCCCACUCACUACACGGGGGAGCCCGGCUACGUCAGCGACACCGAGACGGCCCCGGCGCCGCCGCGCGACGAGCUCUGACCCCAAUAAAACUCACACUUGGAUUUUUAAACGGCUUUUUGCUGGUUUUAUUUUCGGGAUUUUUUUUGGGAUUUUUGGGGAUUUUUUAUGGGGUUUUUUGGGAUUUUUUUUGGAUUUUUUGGGGAUUUUUUUAUGGGUUAUUUUGGGGUUUUUUGGGGAUUUUUUUCUUGGGUUUUUGGGGAUUUUUUCUGGGUUUUAUUGGGAUUUUUUCCAGGGUUUUUUGGGAUUUUUUCUGGGUUUUUUGGGAUUUUUUCUGGGUUAUUUUGGGAUUUUUUCUGGCUUUUAUUGGGAUUUUUUCCAGGGUUUUUUGGGGGAUUUUUUUGGGAUCUUUUGGGUAAAUUUUUGGGGUUAUUUUGGGGAUUUUCUUUGGAUAUUUUGGGAAUAUUUUGGGGAUAAUUUGGGAUAUUUUGGGGAUAUUUUGGGACAUUUUGGGGCUCAGAGCUCGUCGUGCUCCUCGUGCCCAGGUGUGUCGGGCUCCCUGCAG
rnacentral:lncRNA from 1 species